CGAGGCCGCGCCACGCCGCGCGGAGACCAACCGUGACUUUUCCCAGCCCUUCAGCAACAGACAGGCAAGUCGGAGCUGUUAGUACAGGCCAGAGUUCCUGCUCUAGAACUCCUCUUAAGCUGACUGAAGAAUUUUGCCUGUGGACAAAAGGCACAUCAGAGCAAGAUAACUAUCCACAGACCUGGCAUGUAUCAACGUGGUCAAGUUAGCUAUGCAAGACUUCUGGGGUACAUGACUAAGAAGGCACCAACAGUACAAAGCAAAGACAAAGCAGUCUGAGUAUUUUAAGAGUGCUCUACACUGAUACAACACAAGAAAAGGCAACAAUAGUAAGUAAACCAGCUGCAACCGUUAGAAAUUUGUUCUAGAUUUACAAAGGUAUUCCAACUUUUACUUUUCCUCCAAUGCUUCACUUAGUUUGAUCACAGCACAUGCUACAAAAAUCAUUGCAAGCUUCACUUUACUAAUGUGCACUUUUCACUAAUUUAGUGUCUUGAUUUCAAUUGUCAACUAAACCAUUUUAAAGCACAAAUGUAUUUAAAACUUAGUAAAAGGAUUGAUUGGACUUUUUUUUUUUUGUUUAAACCACUGCAUUUACAAAAAUAUUUCCCCUAAAAUCUGGGAUUGCUUGAAGACAUUGCUGUACAAAUAUAAAAGUACUAUGCAAGGGACCAAAUUCAUGUGUAUACUGUGUGUAUGUAUAGACCUAUAUUUAUACCAUAUCACUGCGCUGUAACAACACAAUAAAUUUAUCAAUAACCAAGGACUAUAUAAACUA
rnacentral:lncRNA from 1 species